CAACGCCGCGUGCGGGAGUGAAGGCCUCGGGUUGUAAACCGCUUUCAGCAGGGAUGAAACUGACAGUACCUGCAGAAGAAGCCCCGGCUAACUACGUGCCAGCAGCCGCGGUAAUACGUAGGGGGCGAGCGUUAUCCGGAUUCAUUGGGCGUAAAGAGCGCGUAGGCGGCUUGUUAAGCGAGAUGUGAAAACCGGGGGCUUAACCCGCGGCCUGCAUCUCGAACUGGCAGGCUUGAGUCUGGUAGAGGAGUGUGGAAUCCCCAGUGUAGCGGUGAAAUGCGCAGAUAUUGGGAGGAACACCAGUGGCGAAGGCGGCACUCUGGGCCACGACUGACGCUGAGGCGCGAAAGCUAGGGGAGCGAACAGGAUUAGAUACCCUGGUAGUCCUAGCCGUAAACGAUGGGCACUAGGUGUGGGGGGUAUAACUCCCUCCGUGCCGCAGCUAACGCAUUAAGUGCCCCGCCUGGGGAGUACGGCCGCAAGGCUA
rnacentral:rRNA from 1 species